GACGGGCGGAAGGGCCUCAGCCGCAGCUUGGCGCCGCUCCCACUCCGCCCUCUGCCGCCAUCUUUGAAAGGGAUGCUAUUUGUGCUUAACCACUGGCUGCUGGCAGCGUUGGCUGCGGCUGUCUGAGCCGGGCUGGGGAGAUGAGGGACAGCAGUGCUCAGCAGCCCGCAUCUCUUGCCACCUGGAUCUGCAGCGUGAGGAAGAAGAAUUGCAAAGCUUUGAGCUUCUUUUGCUGAAUCUCACCCUGGUGUUUCACGCAUUGAAACUGAAAAGAAGCUGCAGCCUGCCUCACUUCGAGCAGCAGGUGGCUCCCUUUCCUCUGAAGUCUGGCUUGAGGAAGAGACUGGCCUCGUUCAUUCCAGUGCCGGCGCUCAUUCGGCAGUACAGGCAUAUUUCUGCUGUUCUGUCAUAGGAAGUGGACUGUUUUCUUUUAUUGCCUCUUUUAAAUGGUUUAAUGCCAUGUAUAAUAAAUACUGUACUUACCGUGGGUUGCUUAGAAAAUGAAGAUAGGAAAAAGGCCUGGGAAAAAACAUCAGCGGUGCUAACCUGAGUUGCAGCAUUUCUUUAUGGAGCAUUCUAAGAAGUUAUGAACUUUUAUAGGAUAUAUUUAAAAAGUUGUCUGAUUCUGA